AGGUCUGUCGCCAAGCGGUAAGGCAACGGGUUUUGAUCCCGUCAUCCCAUGGUUCGAAUACAUGUAGACCUGCCA
rnacentral:tRNA from 1 species